rnacentral:lncRNA from 7 species
CAAGCACUUUUUGCCAGCAACGAGUAAGAGCCCACGCUCAUCAAACUCUGCACCAGCGCAGAUGACACACUGUCGCUGUUGCCACAGCUGAAACGCACGGCCUCACUGUGCUCCCAUCCACUGUCUGAUCCCCAUACACGUUCAGCAAGCGUGCGUGAAUGUCAGCGCGUGCCAUAAUUCCCGCAUGGAGGAAUUUGGAGAUGCGCCUCUGCUACAUGUGCCCUUCUCUGUCAAGCAGCGUUUUUCAGAGUACCCCUCUGCUGCCGCCCGUCACAUGGCAACCAAAUGCAAUGGGAUACUGGUGGGAAGAUCCCGCAUCUACUUGCUGUCCCACCAACACCCGCCUCUGACAGCGUGGGCCAACGUAAUAGAAUGGCAGGCAUUACUUUCGGAGCAGCCCUCAUAAAAUACAUAACGCUUACGGUUCACACCUAUAAGCAGCAACGUUCGUUUUAAACUUUAGUACUUUUAUUAAGAAAGGACGUGCCUGGCCCAGGGCAUCUCUGGAGCCCCUGUCCCGCUGUGGCUCAGGGACCUUCCCUGUUUUGCAGGUGCCGAGAGACAGGCGGCCGGGCACUGGAGCCCCUGCAGUGAGGCCGACGAGGAGCUCCAGCAGCUGCUGCUGUCAGGGCUGCCUGGGCACAGGCCUGUGCUGGGCCCUGACUUCAUGCAGGCGGCCUGGAGGAGCCUGGAGGAGCUGGUGGAGCGGAACAGCCUGUCAUGCCACUGCUGCAGCUCCCCUGAGGUCCAGAGCUGUCCCGGAAACGGCAAAGUUGACGCCUCGAACGUGCCCCGCAGAUCUGCGUGGAGAGCUGAAACCCAUAAAGCCCUCAAAAUGCACGUGGCCCGGAAAAGCCUGGAAGUGCAACUGGGGGCCCUGCCCGAACGGCUCUUGCUCUCCCAGCAGCAGGCAAGGGGAAGACAAUGCCGCCGCAUCCUGCCCAAGCUCAUCAAGCCAGGGCAGACCCAGCCUCUGCUGCGGCAACGCCUGUCCCCCUUCCUGCAGGCCAAGGGCGACUGCAUUGCAGGCAACAUUCUCAGGAAGCAAGAGCUAAGAGAGUGGAACGAACCCAACCCUACAGAGAAGUCCAUGAACCUGCUGGUGCCGUGCCCCCCCCCUCUUCUGCUUCCCCGGAACGUGGGUCUAACCGGGAAGGUCGUCCAGAGGAAAGCUCGUUUCCAGGGCCAGGCUGAGGCACAGGGGCAUCCCACGAAGAGGCAGCAGUGCCGCCCCAAGGAGUCGGCAAAGAUUCCUUUGCCUCCGAGCCACGCAGCAGCCAAGGAGCAAGAGCGUCCCACGGCUAGCGCAGCGCCUCCUGGCCCGGCCAGCACGUCGCUGCUAAAGGACGCCAGCUGUCAAACGGACUCUGCAGGCCUGCGUGUGGGUGACAUCAAAGCCAGGAGCCAGCGCCGCAGCGCAGCGCUUGCUAUCAUCUCCAAGCUGCAGCUCAGUCAGGCGGCUUUUGGGAAGCUCUCCAUGCACACGGCCAGAAAAUGCCUGGAGGUAAAGCUUCAACGCUUCCCUGCGGUGGUGCGGAGGUCCAUGCAGAAGCAGCGUGGGGCGCCCCUUGCCUGCCCAGCUGGCACCAGAGCACCGAGAUCCCAGACGGUUCGUAGAUACUUCCCCAGCCGUCAGGCUCUGUUCCUGAAUGAGGAGCAGCGCGAGUGCCUGGAGCUGCACAUCCGCUCCAUGAAGCUGGAGCGCCUUGGGAACCGCCUCAUCUCAGGCAGUCCAUUGAAGCCAGCAGUGUCCCAGGAGGAAGAAUCUGCCAGCACGUAUGUGACCGCACCAUCCGAGGCAUCUUGGGCUGAGGCAAGCCCCAAAGGCCACAAGCGGCAGCCCCGGAAGGGGGAAGAAGUGCCCUAGCAGAGGCAAGAGCACGCGGGGUGCCAAAGUGGCAGGCAGCAGCUUUCCACCUGCCAGGGUAACAUUCUGUGGGGUGCAAGAGACCACCACCAGCUACCGCACCUCACUGUUAUACAGAGACCCUGACAGUGGACAGUUGUACCCACUGACCGUGGCCGCACCAACUAACAAGAAGGUCUUGAGCAAGAUACGCGUGAUACCCCAAACACCACGGAUCUCUCCCUCUAAGCCCAUCCACGUGUUCAUCAAGGAGAGGAAAGGCCAGGCUCGGUAGCGCCGUCUGUACAAAAAAGUCUUUUUCUUUUUUUCCUAAAUAAAUGAGUGUAUCUACUAGUGCCGAAGAGCUUUCUCUACGGGGGCCUCCCUGGGGAUCGAGGCGGGAGAUGGGCUCGGGAGUAGCAGGGAUGGUGUGCUGUCCCACAGGAGGACAUGCAGAUGAGGAUAAGCCCCGGCAAGUUGGCUGGGGCUUCUUCUCCCCCCCGGCCGUGCCCUGGGGGCAGCCUGGGGCUCUGUGACUCAUCUGGAGGCGCAGCACCAAGUCCUGCACGGCCUGACUGGCUGCGAGGGGACUGCGGGCUCCCACAGCACCAGGAACGGGCCGUCGGCUCCUCCUGCAGGCAGGCGGGCUUGAGGUGGUGCAGGGCAAGUCCUUUGCCUCACCUUGGCCUGUGAUCCAGGAGUCAGCCCUGCCCGCUCGGUGCGGAUGGGGAUGGGGAAGGCAGCAUGAAGCAGGGACCAAGGCCCCAGAAUAGCGUCCACUGCCCUCCCAGCACGGGCAGCUGCCAAGUCCUCCCUUGCACUGGCCACACGGUGCAUAUGGAAAGAGCUGGGUUCUCACAUUGCUGAAGACGUGAGCUUCCAGGCGCUCCCACUUAUGUGACAGUAACUUAGUAACUUCUGUUCUCUUAGGCAGCCUGGAAGGCCACCUAUAUCCUGGGCGGAACUAGAAAAGGGGCGGGCAGCAGGGAGAGGGAGGUGAUUGGACUGUCCCCCUCAACUUGGCUCCUGUGAGGCCCCAUCCGGAGGACUGCGUCCAGGCCUGGGGUCUCCAGCACAAGAAGGACGUGCACUUAUCACUCGACAGCGAUAAGAACCCUCCCUGCUGAGGAGUCCCGUCAAACGCUGGCUUGCAGU